rnacentral:rRNA from 1 species
UCCGGAAUCAUUGGGUUUAAAGGGUCCGUAGGCGGGCUAUUAAGUCAGAGGUGAAAUUGUGCAGCUCAACUGUAGAACUGCCUUUGAUACUGAUAGUCUUGAGUUAUGGUGAGGUAGCCGGAACAUGUGGUGUAGCGGUGAAAUGCAUAGAUAUCACAUAGAACGCCGAUUGCGAAGGCAGGUUACCAACCAUAUACUGACGCUGAUGGACGAAAGCGUGGGGAGCGAACGGGAUUAGAUACCCCGGUAGUCCACGCCGUAAACGAUGGAUACUAGCUGUUGGGUUUUCGGACUCAGCGGCCAAGCGAAAGUGAUAAGUAUCCCACCUGGGGAGUACGUUCGCAAGAAUGAAACUCAAAGGAAUUGACGGGGGCCCGCACAAGCGGUGGAGCAUGUGGUUUAAUUCGAUGAUACGCGAGGAACCUUACCAGGGCUUAAAUGGGAGAUGACAGGAGCAGAGACGCUCUUUUCUUCGGACAUCUUUCAAGGUGCUGCAUGGUU